GGACUGUAGCUCAGUGGUAGAGCAUCUAUCUGCCUUGCAUGCACAAAGUCCCAGCUUCAGCCUCUGGCAUAUCCA